UGAUGAAUGAGGUAACUUUGAUGUAGAAUUGAGAUGUACGCUACUUUUGCGAUCCAUAUUGAACAUGAUGGAAAAGAAAAGGGGAAACCGUGCCUGGAGCAACGUUUGACUUCACAAUUUUUAAAAGACAAAGCUAGCCGAGAGCUUGAGGGUAUCAGGAGACAUGUCAGCUUAGAGACCUACAGCGCUGCUCGAGAUGUUGUUGAGUCAAUCAGCCACAUAACACAGGGAGGACUCAAGAGAGCGAGCUUAAGGGAGCAAACACAGACGUGCUCUUGAGACAAUGCUGCGUAAGUGCACCAGCGGGCUGUCGGACAGCUGCUCACAGAGACCUCAGGCUCAUGUACCACUGGUCACCAGCUCCACGUGUUUGAGGUUAACCUGUUAUUUUUGUUGCUCACUGCCAUAUAGUGGGUGUAAUGCUCAAACAAAAAUAGCCAGAGAAGCAAGAGAGUGAUAUUUGCAAACUUUUUCCUUGUCGUAUUGCCUAUUAAAGCUCGGAAUGACUCACAAAAACAGGAAAGACUUUGUCUUUUUUGUUUUUUUUCUGAGGGGGAGGGGUUUUCACAAUUACAAUUUUACAAUUUGAAAUAUCAAGAACACUCAGAAUGAAGUCUACAUGAACUAAAUGCAGAAAACUGUCUUUUAAGUUAGAUGCUGAUGCGACAAAGCGUUUGUAAUUUACGAGCAGCCCCUGAAUACAUCACGUAGUGUGCAGUCAGUGGACAGAAGCGGGCAGCUGUUUUGGUUUCAGUACUGGGUGUCAGAUGGUAUCUGAGAAAAUGGAGGCUUACAUCAGUCACAAGAAAAAUAAUAAAAGUGCAAGGAAAGAUCCUUA